GUUUCAACAGCAGCUGGAGACUCACCUGCACAGGUGAGCGGCUUCUAGAUGAUUGACAGGCCAUGGACCAAUCACUGUCCAGUUGGCGGCCUCAUGCGAGUGUGCUCAGUUGUUUCCCGCCCUCUGUGGGCAGAGAUGUUGCUGUUGCUGUGGUGAAGUCCUUGGCAGUCGGCCUUGGAAACCCCAACACCCAGAGCCUGCUACGCACAGACGGACAGGUGAAAUGGACCAUGGAGGUGUUGU